AAUUGCACGCUGGCGGCAGGCUUAACACAUGCAAGUCGAGCGGAGAUAAGGGAGCUUGCACCCUAUCCUAGCGGCGGACGGGUGAGUAAUGCUUAGGAAUCUGCCUAUUAGUGGGGGACAACAUUCCGAAAGGAAUGCUAAUACCGCAUACGUCCUACGGGAGAAAGCAGGGGAUCUUCGGACCUUGCGCUAAUAGAUGAGCCUAAGUCGGAUUAGCUAGUUGGUGGGGUAAAGGCCUACCAAGGCGACGAUCUGUAGCGGGUCUGAGAGGAUGAUCCGCCACACUGGGACUGAGACACGGCCCAGACUCCUACGGGAGGCAGCAGUGGGGAAUAUUGGACAAUGGGGGGAACCCUGAUCCAGCCAUGCCGCGUGUGUGAAGAAGGCCUUAUGGUUGUAAAGCACUUUAAGCGAGGAGGAGGCUACUGAAAUUAAUACUCUUGGAUAGUGGACGUUACUCGCAGAAUAAGCACCGGCUAACUCUGUGCCAGCAGCCGCGGUAAUACAGAGGGUGCGAGCGUUAAUCGGAUUUACUGGGCGUAAAGCGUGCGUAGGCGGCUUUUUAAGUCGGAUGUGAAAUCCCCGAGCUUAACUUGGGAAUUGCAUUCGAUACUGGUAAGCUAGAGUAUGGGAGAGGAUGGUAGAAUUCCAGGUGUAGCGGUGAAAUGCGUAGAGAUCUGGAGGAAUACCGAUGGCGAAGGCAGCCAUCUGGCCUAAUACUGACGCUGAGGUACGAAAGCAUGGGGAGCAAACAGGAUUAGAUACCCUGGUAGUCCAUGCCGUAAACGAUGUCUACUAGCCGUUGGGGCCUUUGAGGCUUUAGUGGCGCAGCUAACGCGAUAAGUAGACCGCCUGGGGAGUACGGUCGCAAGACUAAAACUCAAAUGAAUUGACGGGGGCCCGCACAAGCGGUGGAGCAUGUGGUUUAAUUCGAUGCAACGCGAGAACCUUACCUGGCCUUGACAUACUAGAAACUUUCCAGAGAUGGAUUGGUGCCUUCGGGAAUCUAGAUACAGGUGCUGCAUGGCUGUCGUCAGCUCGUGUCGUGAGAUGUUGGGUUUAGUCCCGCAACGAGCGCAACCUUUUCCUA
rnacentral:rRNA from 1 species